GAUAAACGCUGGCGGCGUGCAUAACACAUGCAAGUCGAACGAGUGGCGAACGGGUGAGUAACACGUGAGUAACCUGCCUUACACAAGGGGAUAGCCUCUGGAAACGGAGAAUAAUACCCUAUAGUGUAAGAUGGACUUGCGUCUGAUUAGCUAGUUGGUGAGAUAAAAGUCACCAAGGCGCGAUCAGUAGCCGGCUUGAGAGGGUGACCGGACACAUUGGGACGGAGAUACGGCCCAGACUCCUACGGGAGGCAGCAGUGGGGGAUAUUGCACAAUGGGCGAAAGCCUGAUGCAGCGACGCCGCGUGGGGGAUGAAGGCUUUCGGGUUGUAAACCUCUUUCGCUAUCGAAAGGGUAGGUGGAGAAGAAGCGCCGGCUAACUACGUGCCAGCAGCCGCGGUAAUAC
rnacentral:rRNA from 1 species